AGACGAAGCUGAAUAUUUCCUUUCCAGCCACUGGCUGCCAGAAAUUAAUUGAAGUGGAUGAUGAAAGCAAACUUCAUACUUUUUAUGAGAAGCAUAUGGCCACAGAAGUUACUACUGAGAUGCUCUGGGUAAAGAUUGGGAGGCUUAUGUGGUCCAAAUCAGCGGUGGGAAAGACAAACAAGUUUUCCCCAUAAAGCAGAGUAUCUUGACCCAUGGCCAAGUCUACCUGCUACUGAGAAGGGGCAUUCCUGUUAUAGACCAAGAAGAAUUGGAGAAAGAAAGUGAAAAUCUGUUCAGGGUCACAAUGUGGUCACCAAUCUGACCAUUCUCAACUUGGUUAUCAUUAAAAAAGGAGAGAAGGAUAUUCCCGGAGUGACUGACACUAUGGUGCCUUGUCACCUGGGGCCCAAAAGACCUAGCAGAAUCUGCACUUUUCAAUCACUCUAAAAAAGAUGAUAUCUGCCAAUAUAUUGUAAUAAAGCCCUUAAACAAAGAAGGUAAGAAACCUAGAACCAAAGCACCCAAGAUUCAGUGUCUCGUUACUCCACAUGUCCUGUAACACAAACUCUGGCAUAUUACUCUGAAGAAACAGACUACUAAGGGAAAUAAGAGAGAGGCUGCAGAAUAUGCGAAACUUUUGGCCAAAAGAAUGAAGGAGACCAAAGAAAAAUGCCAGGAAUAGAUUGCCAACAGUGCAGGUGGCCCUCUCUGUGAGCUUCUACUUCUGAGU
rnacentral:lncRNA from 10 species